UUGCUUUUGCAGCACAUGUACUACAACUGGAACAUCCAGAGAAGGUUAGCAUGGCUCCUGUGCAAGGAGGACACGCUAAUUUGGGGAGUGUUCUAUAUUUAA